rnacentral:rRNA from 1 species
AUUGAACGCUGGCGGAAUGCUUUACACAUGCAAGUCGAACGGCAGCACGGACUUCGGUCUGGUGGCGAGUGGCGAACGGGUGAGUAAUGUAUCGGAACGUGCCCAGUCGUGGGGGAUAACGAAGUGAAAAUUACGCUAAUACCGCAUACGAACUAUGGAUGAAAGCGGGGGAUCUCAAGACCCCGCGCGAUUGGAGCGGCCGAAAUCAGAUUAGGUAGUUGGUGGGGUAACGGCCCACCAAGCAAACGAACUGUAGCGGGUCUGAGAGGACGACCAGCCACCCUGGAACUGAGACCCGGUCCAGACUCCUACGGGAGGCGGCAGUGGGGAAUUUUGGACAAUGGGCGAAAGCCUGAUCCAGCCAUUCCGCGUGCAGGAUGAAGGCCCUCGGGUUGUAAACUGCUUUUGUACAGAACGAAAAGGUUUCUACUAAUACUAGGAGCUCAUGACGGUACUGUAAGAAUAAGCACCGGCUAACUACGUGCCAGCAGCCGCAGUAA